rnacentral:rRNA from 1 species
GACGAACGCUGGCGGCGUGCUUAACACAUGCAAGUCGAACGGAAAGGCCUCUUUCGGGGGGUCCUCGAGUGGCGAACGGGUGAGUAACACGUGAGUAACCUGCCCUUUACUUUGGGAUAACUUCAGGAAACUGGGGCUAAUACCGGAUAGGAGCUCCUGCUGCCUGGUGGGGGUUGGAAAGUUUCGGCGGUUGGGGGUGGACUCGCGGCUUAUCAGCUUGUUGGUGGGGUAGUGGCUUACCAAGGCGUUGACGGGUAGCCGGACAGUGGGGGUGACAGGCCACACUGGGUCUUAGAUGAGACAGAAACGCGUACGAGAGGAAGCUAUGCGGAAUCUUGAACCAUGGGUGGCGGCUGGAUGCAGCAGGGCUGCGUGCUGGAUGACCGCCUUGGGGUUGAAAAACGCCUUCGCUCUUGUCGAAGCUUUGUGUGACGGUAGUGGGUGAAGAAGCACCGGCUAACUACGUG